rnacentral:rRNA from 1 species
AUUGAACGCUGGCGGAAUGCCUUACACAUGCAAGUCGAACGGCAGCACGGACUUCGGUCUGGUGGCGCGUGGCGAACGGGUGAGUAAUACAUCGGAACGUGCCAAGUCGUGGGGGAUAACGUAGCGAAAGCUACGCUAAUACCGGAGACGCUCUAAGGAUGAUAGCGGGGGAUCGCAAGACCUCGCGCUAUUGGAGCGGCCGGUGGCAGAUUAGGUAGUUGGUAGGGUAAAGGCCUACCAAGCCGACGAUCGGUAGCUGGGCUGAGAGGAUGAUCAGCCACACUGGGACUGGGACACGGCCCAGACUCCUACGGGAGGCAGCAGUGGGGAAUUUUGGACAAUGGGCGCAAGCCUGAUCCAGCCAUUCCGCGUGCAGGAUGAAGGCCUUCGGGUUGUAAACUGCUUUUGGACAGAACGAAAAGGCUCUGGUUAAUACCCGGGGCUCAUGACGGUACUGUAAGAAUAAGCACCGGCUAACUACGUGCCAGCCGCCGCAGUAA